rnacentral:tRNA from 1 species
CUCUCGGUAGCCAAGUUGGUUUAAGGCGCAAGACUGUAAAUCUUGAGAUCGGGCGUUCGACUCGCCCCCGGGAGACCA